rnacentral:lncRNA from 1 species
GUUUGCAGCCAGGCCUCGUUUGCAAUACAGCCGGCUCCCCCCGUGGCGCCCUGCCGCGGGCCCCACAGCACCGCUUGCACCGCCGGGUCGGGGCGCGGGGAGUGGAGGGCACCCCUGCAGGCGGAGGGCAUCCCCCCUCGAUCACAGCCACCCUCCGCCCCAGAAACCGCAGCCAGCCCCUCCCCUAGGAGCAGCCCGUCCCCGGGCCCGCCGGCCGGGCGCUCGCUUCGGCUGGAGGAACGGGGCGAGGAUGGGAGCCCGGAGCCCCCCGCUGCCCCCGGCGCCCUCCCUCCAGCCCCCCCGACGCGCGCUUCCGCGCCCCCAGCCGCCCCCCGGGAGCCGCGCGGGGGCCCCACGCCCCACGCCCCCCGACCCCGCGCGCCCGGCGCCGCUCACCUGCCGGCCCCGCUCCGCGCCGCCCCGGACCCCGCCCCGCCGCCCCGCGGGCUCCGGCCGGCCGGCCGGCCGCCCCGCGCCCCCCGCCGCCCGCGCCCCGGCGAGCCUCGCCGCCCGCAGCCCGCCCGGCCCGCGCCCCCUCCCUGCCGGCCAGCGCAGCCGCCCUCUACCCCGGAUCCAGAAGUCCCCUCCCCGCCGGCUCCCGGACUCCCCGCCUUAAAGGCACAAGCGCCCAUUGUCUGGCGCCCCCUCCCCCUCCCCUCCCCCUCCGCCCGCCGCGCCCCGCGCGGGGCCCACUGCCCCCGGAGCGCGCAGGGGUGCGGGAGCCCGGGCGCCCCCUCCGCGCGCCCCCUCCCCCGUCCUGGGCAAACAAGCGGCUUCUGUUCUGGGAGCCGGACCCCGGGGACCGCCCGUCCCGCGCGCCCCUUCCCUCCACCCCCUGCCGCCUCCCGCCGCCCUGCGCCCGCCCCCGGCCGGGGGUCCCCGCGCGCCCGCGCCCGCGCCCGCACUCGGGGCCCGCGCCUCGCCCCCGCCCGGAGCAGCGGGGGGCGGCUUCCCUCCGGCCGGGGUCCCCCGGGGCGAGCCGGCGCCCCGCGCCCCCCUCCUCCCCCCCUCCCGCCUCCCCCUGCCCCCCGCCCCCCCCCCCGCCGUUCCCGCCCCGCCGCCGCGGCCCCGCGCCCUCCCGCGGGAACUCAGUUUAAUAAUUAA